AUACAGGUUAUUGCUGUUUAGUGAACAAGAAAUGGGUGGAUGAAGAUAUUGAAGAAGAUGUCGAAUUCGUUCACGAACGGCUAACGGAAAGUAUACAAGAUUUGAGGUAAUCAAAUGUCUUCUAAAUUUUUCAUCGUUUAUUUUUUUUGUUUGUAUUUUGUUCGUCUUUAGUACAUUUGACGAAUACGCAGCAGAAGUUCGGUCAGGUCGACUGGAGUGGAGUCCUGUUCACAAAUCCGAGAAGUUUUGGCGUGAAAAUUCUCAAAGACUCAAUGAAAAGAAUUAUGAAUUAAUAAAGAUUCUUACAAGAUUGUUAGACACCUCUCAGGAUCCUUUAAUUUUAUCUGUUUUUGCGCAUGAUGUUGGUGAAUACGUGAGACACUUUCCAAGGGCCUGUGUUUCUGCCGAC